rnacentral:lncRNA from 1 species
GAAACAAGAGAAAAUAUUCUGUAAUAAAGAAGAGGGGAUACUAAGAGAGAUAUAUUUCAUAUUGAGGAAGUUUUGAUCUCUAGUUUUAUAACACGUUAUCAGCACGAGCGCUGUCAACCAAGCAAAUCAACAAAAGCAAAUGAGCUAUUACCAUACUCAAUGUAAGAAUUUCAUAUAUUUAAAUAUAUAUACAUAUAUAUAUAUAGGUUGAAAGCCUAAGGGUGCACCAGUGAGUUGUAAAACCAUACACCUUUAGGAUGAUCUUUUAGAUCCCGUUUCUCCUUUAUAUAUAUGUAUACUUAUAAUAUAGUUCUGUGAUAAAUUAAAAUUAGUACAGAGGACCUAUCGCUCUGGAGAUAUAAUAAUCAUGGGACUACUAACAUUUAUUUAUGUACCUAACAUUUUUGUUUAUGCAUCUAAUAUUUAUUUAUGCAAUAUAACAUUUACUAGCUACAGUGAACUGUUUCAAAACGUAUCAUGGAAGCCUUAACCAAACGUAUGGUGUAAGCUUAAAUUUUCUUAUCUAUUUGUAACACCCCAAAACUCGAACUAUUAAAUUCAUUAGUAGGUUACCAUGUGUAAUUAGAUGAAGUACAAUAACUAAGUUAUUAGGCCUAGUUAAGUGUCUAAUGAAUAAAAGAAUGAGGUUUGUGGCAAUUAAGAUGAUAUGUUAAACUUGAGGGACUAAGGGUGCCAAGAUGGAAACUCAAGUUAUUAAAACAAAAUAUCACACACACACAAGGUGUGUGUGUGUGGUGGGAUCGUCGAGGAGAAAGAGCAGAGGGGUGUGAACCCUAGCUCUCAAGAACAACAACACAAAUUCAGCCCAAUCAAAGCCAAAAUCGAAUAGAAAGCCUUGCAUGGAUGAAGAUUUCUCAUAAUCUAACCCUAACAAACAUAUGGUAAGUUGUAAUUUUGAGUUUGAUGAUUUUUGUAUGAAGUGGCUUAGGAUCAAUCCACAAAAUUUACUGGAAUUAAGCAUGAAUAUAUGUUAGAAUUAUCAUUUGGAAUGUGAAUUAUACAAGAUUUGAUGUUAAUUGAGAUUCGAAGAUGAAACCCACUUGGGUUAGUAGAAAUGGCGACAUGGGUAUGUCACCCAUGUCCAACCCUUGUUUAAUUUUUGAUAUGAUAUGUUGCAUGUGACCAAAUUGUUAGUUAAAUUGAACAUGGUAUGGAAUUGAAUUGUUAUUGGUAUUUUGGAUGAUUGAAAACAAGAACUAGGAAGAAAAGAAUGAAGGUUACUUGUACAUUAUGUUUAGAAACUUGUACGUAUGCCAAGUGUUCGAUGAAAUGACUAGGUGAAUUUAGAAGGUGAAAUAGUAUGCAAGAAAGUGGUAAUUAGAUAUGGAAUGUGAUAAAGGGGUGUUUGAUAGUAAAUUAACAUGAGAAUUGAGUUUAGAUAUAGUUCAUUGCUAAGUAUGGAUUAUGGUGCAAUUGUAGAAUUAAUGAGGUUUCUAGUAUGGUGUGUACAUGUAAACAAGUGAUCAUGCGAUUAAAUGAGUAUCUCACCAUGAGUGUACCACAUGCUAUUGAUAUGAUUAAUGGAAGUCGAAUGUGAAUUGUGAAUUAAUAUGGUUGUUCUCUUGUAUGAUUUCAUAUGCUAACAAGAACGUGUGUGUAAUGAAACGAAUGUAUGUGUGAGUAAAUAUGUAUGUGUGUAUCAUUAUGUGAUUAUGUGGUUGUAAGUACAUUUUCAUCAUAAGUAGGAAAUGUAUAUAGUGUCAUAUGUAUAGCCUAAUAUGAUGUAGCGAAUAUAUGAGGUUAAGUCGGAAGUUUAUACAUUAAACCGUUGACUUUUGGAAGUCAACUGCACAUAAGGGACAUAGCUAGAUUUUUGACACAAUUAUAAGAUCUUGGAACGUCAUAUGGUAUGUGUUAAAUUAAUAUGCGUUUUAUGCGUUAACAUGAUGGAUUGUAUGAGUUUGAAAAGAUAUGAUUUGGGCGUAUGCCUUAUGUUUGUUAGACUUGACUAUGAAAGCUAAUUGCGAGUUAUGCAUUCGACAUGAUCAUUUAUAUGUAAAAUCAUGUAUACUAACAAGGAUGUGAUUGCGGUGACACGAAAGCAUUAGGGAUCAUGUGGAAAUGGACUCAAGCAAGAAAGACUAACGGGUCAAGAGGAGACAAGAAAGUGGAUGCGAAAACGGACGCUCAAUGUAUGCCAUUGAAAUCCGUGGUGCAGUUUUGAGGAUUUGGGAUGCUAGAUUGUGAGUAGAAGAAUGAUCGAAAGAACCUGCAAGAAUAGAAAGAAUGCGGCGUGGUCAUUUCAUUAUGUAUGAUAGAUUUUGAAUUGUAGUUAUUAAAUUUAAUGAUGUGCAAAUUUGUGGUGAAUGUAGGAUUCGCAGAUUAAUAUCGGAAUAAAGUAUUGGAGGAUUGAAGAUCGAGUCAAGAGCAAGGAUUGUACGGGAGAACAGUCACGUAGUUAUAGUUAUAUAAUGUUUUAACAAGUGGAAGUAAAUGUACACAUUUCCUUUAGUAAAUGUUUAAUAUUUUGAAGUUUGAGUCUUCAUGCAUGUUUUGUGUUUAAAUUAUAAAGAAAUUUUAAGGCUU